GGCUUAUACCACAUUUAGGAAAAGCAAAUCAGCUACAGGUAUUCAGAACCGAGCUAACAAUGUCCUCUGAUAGGGUCUGUGUGUCCUCCUUCGUAGCGUAUAUGUUGAUUGUAUCCUCCGAAACAGACGAAAACAUGAUUGACGGCCUCUUGAUAGUUCUAGCCCACACGAACUUCAGAGAGUUGGAUUAUAAACGCCCCUAUGUGUUAUUUACUAAACAAUUGAUUCACAUUUCCGCUUGUUACUGGGUUGCUCUGCUUGUUCCUGGGUUGUUCCGCUUGUUACUGGGUUGUUACUGGGUUGUUCCACUUGUUACUGGGUUGUUCCGCUUGUUCCUCGUUUUAGCAACGUCGGCCCAUAAACACCAAUUCCGGAAGUAGACGUAAAUCUGAAUCAGGUUACCUGAUUGUUAUCUGAGAAGUACGCGCAAAUGACGAGAGAUCUUUGGCGGAAUCUAUUUGACAAAAAUGGCGAGCUCACUUUCUGCAGUUGAUUACAUUGUGUUUGUUUUGAUGCUUGUCUUGUCCAGCGCGAUUGGCAUCUACUAUGGCAUCAAAGGCAAGCAGAAAAGCACGAAGGAAUACCUCACGGCAAGCGGCAGCAUGCACUGGCUACCUAUCUCUAUAUCCAUGCUUGCAACGUUCGUAUCUGCCAUUGCAUUAAUGGGUAUACCAUCUGAGGUUUACACCUAUGGUAUACAAUACUUAAUCACGGUUUUAUCAUUUGUUAUAAUGCUUUCAGUUGGUGCUUUGGUUUAUGCGCCAAUAUUUUACAAAACGCAAGUGACAAGUGCCAACGAGUAUUUGGAGAAGAGAUUCAGUUAUGGGAUUCGCCUUGUAGGCUGUAUCAUGUUCAUUUUGCAGUAUGUGUUGUACUUGGCAGUUGUUAUAUACGCUCCAAGUCUUGCAUUACAAGCAGUUGCUGGCGUUCCUUUGGCAGCAUCGAUCGUUUCAACGGGUGUUGUUUGCACAUUUUACACGACUCUGGGUGGAAUGCGGGGUGUUGUGUGGACUGAUGUUUUUCAAACAUUUGUGAUGCUUUUGGGAGUCAUUGUUAUAAUUGCAAUAGGCACAAAUGAAGUCGGAGGUAUCAAGAAUGUUAUUGACAUUGCACGUGAUGGGGAACGUCUAAAAUUAUUUGAUUUCAACCCAGAUCCUACUGUUAGAAACACAUUUUGGACAUUGUUCAUUGGAGCCACAUUCUCAUUUAUUUCAACGUGGACAACAUCUCAAGUCGUGGUGCAAAGAUUUUUAUCUGCCUCCUCACUGAAGAACGUCAAAAAGGCCCUAUUUACAAAUAUUCUUUUCUUUCUCGUAACAUAUUCUGUAUGCUGCUUCUCUGGAUUGGUGAUGUACGCUGUAUACUCAAAAUGUGACCCUCGCAGUGUUAAAGAGAUCAAAAGCAAUGACCAGAUCAUCCCGUACUUCGUGAUUCAUAAGCUGUCACAUCUAAAGGGUGUGCCAGGACUAUACACAGCUUGUCUUUUCAGCGGGGCGCUAAGCUCUGCAUCUUCUGGGUUGAAUUCGCUGACAGCUGUGGUUGUUGAGGAUAUCAUCAAAAGAAGACAUCCAACUUUGACUGACGAAAAAGCAAUGCAUGUUUCCAAAUUGAUAGCUUGUGCUUUUGGAGUUCUUGUCAUCAGUCUUUCUUUUCUCGUCUCCGUCGUUGGUACUCAAGUUCUUCAGCUUGCCUAUUCCAUUGCUGGUAUCAUUGGUUCUCCAUCUUUUGGAAUGUUUACCCUUGGCAUGCUUUCAAAGAGGGCAAAUUCUAAAGGUGCUUUUUGUGGCGUGAUAUUUGGGGUAACAAUGUCUGCCUGGAUAUCAUUGGGCGGUAUUUUGUUCCCUGGAGACAAGGCUCCUGCCCCGGUACAAGUCACGAAUUGCAGUGCUCUUGGUAUUUACAAUGCAACAAAUUUUCCAAACACAGUUGAUGGCAAGGUCAUCUACAACUUCAAACCACACGACUUUCCUUUGGCAAAACUGUACAGUUUAUCUCAUUACUGGUAUGGUACGAUUGGAAUCUUUUCGACGAUUAUCAUUGGUUGGCUAGUUUCCAUAGUAACAGGCCGCCACGAUGAAAAAGAAUCCGUCGAUCCUAAACUGCUUUUUGACUUUCAAUCAAUCUUACCAGCAAGAUUUUUGUCAUCGCCAAACAGUUUUGAUGUUGUACAGUCUUCAUCUUCUCUGGAACUCAAGGAAGCCUAACUUUUGCUCGCCAAGAAGGCUUACUCGUUUGAAACUAAGAACUUUGCAGCACACUAAGAAGGCUUACUCGUUUGAAACUAAGAACUUUGCAGCACACUAAGAAGGCUAACUUGUUUGAAACUAAGAACUUUGCAGCACACUAAGAAGGCUUACUCGUUUGAAACUAAGAACUUUGCAGCACACUAAGAAGGCUAACUUGUUUGAAACUAAGAACUUUGCAGCACACUAAGAAGGCUAACUUGUUUGAAACUAAGAACUUUGCAGCACACUAAGAAGGCUAACUUGUUUGGAAACUAAGAACUUUGCAGCACACUAAGAAGGCUAACUUGUUUGAAAAUUAAUGUCCGAGAUUUGGUAGUUUACUACCUUAUUGUGACAAAUUUUCAGUCCCUUUUUGAUUCAGUCUUGCCGACAAACAAAAUUACAGCUUCUCGUUUGACAUGUAAAUGUUCAAUCUAAUCAUUGAUCAGUGGCAUCUUCUAGCACGUUUUAUCCAUUAAACUUUCAUUUCAUUAUUUCUUGCACUCUGAGCAUUAUACCGAUACUCGGUCCUGCUCAGUAUCGAUGUAGAUGUGAAUGUAGAAACAGCUAAUUUUAAUUGUUUAACGUUUAA